ACAUGUCGUCAAAUCGUC
rnacentral:misc_RNA from 1 species